rnacentral:ncRNA from 1 species
AAUAAAUUUUUUAUGGUUUAAAAAUUUUAUUGAUAAUUUAUUUUACAUAUAAAUUUUAGUGUUAUAUUUAAUUUAUUUUAAUAAUAAAUUAUUUAUUUUUGUAGUAAUUAAUAUUAAAUAAUUUAAGAAAUUAAGAUUUAGUAAUAUUAAAAUUAAUAACAAAUUUUGUGCCAGCAGUUGCGGUUACACAAAGAUUAAAUUAAAUUUUAUUAGUGAUUAAUAAAUAAAUUGAUAAAUAAUAAAAAUUUUAAAUUAUUAGGUGAAAUUUUAAUUUAAUAAAAUAUUAUAGUAUUAAUUAUGACUUAAUAAAUUUUAUAAAAAACUAGGAUUAGAUACCCUAUUAUUAAAAUUUAAAAUUAAAUUACUAAAAUAGUAAAUAAUUAUUUAUUGAAACUUAAAUAAUUUGGCGGUAUUUUAGUUCAUUUAGAGGAAUCUGUUUAAUAAUUGAUAAUCCACGAAUAAAUUUACUUAAUUUAUAAUUUUGUAUAUCGUUGUUAAAAAAAUAUUUUUUAAUAAAAAUAAUAUUUAAAAAUUUUUAUAAUAAAUUAAAUCAGAUCAAGAUGCAGAUUAUAAUUAAGAAUAUAAUGGAUUACAAUAAAUUUAUUUAAAUGAAUAUUAAUUUGUAAAAAUUAAUUGAAAGUGGAUUUAAGUGUAAUUUUAUUUAGUUUAAUAAAAUGAUUAUAAAUUAAAAUAUGUACAUAUUGCCCGUCGCUUUCAUAUAUUAAUAAGUUGAAAUAAGUCGUAACAAAGUAGAGGUACUGGAAAGUGUUUCUAGAAAGAU